rnacentral:lncRNA from 1 species
GGCAGACCAUAAUGUGAGUUGGGAGUCUGUAAGUAAGUUUUAGCUUUUGAAUCUGGACUCACAGUAAAAGUACACUCAUCUUUAAUAUGUGGCACAAAAGACAUUUUCAGAUCUUGAUGAUUAGACUCAUUGAGGAAACCUUUACCAAAUGUUUUUAAAGAUAUGGUGAUGUUAUUCCUCAACUGAAUCUUUUCAAUGGCUCCACCAGGGCAGAAUAUACCAACAUUCAUC